AGUGAACGCUGGCGGUAGGCCUAACACAUGCAAGUCGAACGGCAGCACAGUAAGAGCUUGCUCUUACGGGUGGCGAGUGGCGGACGGGUGAGGAAUACAUCGGAAUCUACUUUUUCGUGGGGGAUAACGUAGGGAAACUUACGCUAAUACCGCAUACGACCUACGGGUGAAAGCAGGGGAUCUUCGGACCUUGCGCGAUUGAAUGAGCCGAUGUCGGAUUAGCUAGUUGGCGGGGUAAAGGCCCACCAAGGCGACGAUCCGUAGCUGGUCUGAGAGGAUGAUCAGCCACACUGGAACUGAGACACGGUCCAGACUCCCACGGGAGGCAGCAGUGGGGAAUAUUGGACAAUGGGCGCAAGCCUGAUCCAGCCAUACCGCGUGGGUGAAGAAGGCCUUCGGGUUGUAAAGCCCUUUUGUUGGGAAAGAAAAGCAGCAGGUUAAUACCCCGCUGUUCUGACGGUACCCAAAGAAUAAGCACCGGCUAACUUCAUG
rnacentral:rRNA from 1 species